rfam:Gossypium arboreum cultivar AKA8401 contig_13246_3, whole genome shotgun sequence.
AUCCCGUGGUGAGGGAAUUUGCGUAGUAACUCUUUAAAUCUUUCCCAUGCCUCAUAUAUGGAUUCAUCAUCCAUUUUUUGAAAAUUAGUGACCUCAUUCCACAACUU